AAUGAACGUUGGCGGCAUGGAUUAGGCAUGCAAGUCGGGGGAAUCCCAGCAAUGGGGGAACCGGCGUAAGGGGCAGUAAGGCAUGGGUACCUACCUUGGGGUUCGGGAUAGCCAUCAGAGAUGGUGGGUAAUACCGGAUGACGUCGUGAGACCAAAGAUUCAUCGCCCUUAGAGGGGCCCAUGUGAUAUUAGCUAGUUGGUGGGGUAGCGGCCCACCAAGGCGAAGAUGUCUAGCGGGUGUGAGAGCACGACCCGCGCCACUCGCACUGAGACACUGGCGAGACACCUACGGGUGGCUGCAGUCGAGGAUCUUCGGCAAUGAGCGCAAGCUUGACCGAGCGAUGCCGCGUGAGCGAUGAAGGCCUUCGGGUUGUAAAGCUCUUUAGUGGGGGAGAAAAGCUGCAAGGUGUGAUCUAUCCCAAAAAUAAGCACGGGCUAAGUUCGUGCCAGCCGCCGCCGUAA
rnacentral:rRNA from 1 species